CCCCGCUUAGCUCAGUUGGAAGAGCGCAAGACUGUAAUCGGCUUCUCUCGUUUAUCUUGAGGUCCCUGGUUCGAUCCCGGGAGCGGGGA